AUCAUUCAGUUGGGCACUCUAGCGAGACUGCCGGUAAUAAACCGGAGGAAGGUGGGGGAUGACGUCAAAUCAUCAUGCCCCUUAUGACCUGGGCUACACACGUGCUACAAUGGGUUGGUACAACGAGUUGCGAGUCGGUGACGGCGAGCUAAUCUCUUAAAGCCAAUCUCAGUUCGGAUUGUAGGCUGCAACUCGCCUACAUGAAGUCGGAAUCGCUAGUAAUCGCGGAUCAGCACGCCGCGGUGAAUACGUUCCCGGGCCUU
rnacentral:rRNA from 1 species